AUUUUUUACACAUGUGAAAACAUGCCAUAUGAUGAAAUAAUGUAAAGUAGGCUGUGAAACACACUCCAGAAAGGUUUUCUUUUAAAAAAAAAAAUCAUCAUGAAUUUUGGCGCAAAAAAACGCCUGACUAUACUAUGUUGAAAAAAACAAUGCGAUUUUUCAAACAUGUUGUAAAACCAUGCCAUAUAAUGAAAUAAUGUAAAGGAGGCCGUGAAAAACACUCCAGAAAGGUUUUCUUUGAAAAAAAAAGCCUUUAUGAAUUUUGGCGCAAAAAAAUGCCUUACUAUACUAUGUCGAAAAAAAAAAUGCGAUUUUUCAACAUGUUGUAAAAACAUGCCAUAUGAUGAAAUAAUGUAAAGGAGGCCGUGAAAAACACUCCAGAAAGGUUUUCUUUGAAAAAAAAAUCAUCAUGAAUUUUGGCGCAAAAAAACGCCUUACUAUACUAUGUCGAAAAAAAAAUGCGAUUUUUCAACAUGUUGUAAAAAGGUGCCAUAUGAUGAAAUAAUGUAAAGGAGGCCGUGAAAAACACUCCAGAAAGGUUUUCUUUGAAAAAAAAAUCAUCAUGAAUUUUGGCGCAAAAAAACGCCUUACUAUACUAUGUCGAAAAAAAAUUGCGAUUUUUCAACAUGUUGUAAAAACAUGCCAUAUGAUGAAAUAAUGUAAAGGAGGCCGUGAAAAACACUCCAGAAAGGUUUUCUUUGAAAAAAAAAAUCAUCAUGAAUUUUGGCGCAAAAAAACGCCUUACUAUACUAUGUCGAAAAAAAAUGCGA
ensembl:lncRNA